CGGGCGGCCUACGGGAGGCAGCAGUGGGGAAUAUUGCACAAUGGGCGCAAGCCUGAUGCAGCCAUGCCGCGUGUAUGAAGAAGGCCUUCGGGUUGUAAAGUACUUUCAGCGGGGAGGAAGGGAGUAAAGUUAAUACCUUUGCUCAUUGACGUUACCCGCAGAAGAAGCACCGGCUAACUCCGUGCCAGCAGCCGCGGUAAUA
rnacentral:rRNA from 1 species